rnacentral:rRNA from 1 species
UACGGAGGGUGCGAGCGUUAAUCGGAAUUACUGGGCGUAAAGCGCACGCAGGCGGUUUGUUAAGCUAGAUGUGAAAGCCCCGGGCUCAACCUGGGAUGGUCAUUUAGAACUGGCAGACUAAAGUCUUGGAGAGGGGAGUGGAAUUCCAGGUGUAGCGGUGAAAUGCGUAGAUAUCUGGAGGAACAUCAGUGGCGAAGGCGACUCCCUGGCCAAAGACUGACGCUCAUGUGCGAAAGUGUGGGUAGCGAACAGG